rnacentral:lncRNA from 1 species
GGGGCAAAAUAGUCGAAAUGGGGUAGAAGGCCAGCACAGCUUGGCAUUCCUGGAAUGUGAUGUGGAAGGAAAAGUGCAGAGGAAGACAAACAAAGAUGUAAGUAGGCUUGACUCAGUGCAGCUAAGAACCCACAUGUUAUCUUGAUGUUAUCUAUCAGCUAAUUUUUUGUAUUUUAGUAGAGAAGGGGUUUUACCACGUUGGCCAGGAUGGUCUCGAUCUCCUGACCUCAUGAUCCAUGCACCUCAGCCUCCCAAAGUGGUGGGAUUAGAGGCAUGAGCCACAGAGUGCUCAAAAAAUCUAUUAAUUAAAAAAUGUGUAUGUAGCCGUCUUUAAUCUACCAUGUCCAUUAGCAGAUAAAUACUAUAAGCAAAAUAACAACAGUGAAAGAAACAUAGACUUAGAGUAGAUACUCUGAUUUAUUUAAUAAAAAUUUGAAAAUAGACCAAAUUACUCUAUGAUAAAAUUUGUUACUAUUGAGGAUGAGGGUUAGUGUUUGGAAAGGGGCAGGAGAAGUAUCUCUAUUUUUAGUAAUGUUCUAUUUUCAUACAUGGUUAUAAGCAAAUACAUGUGUUUCAUUAAUGAAGCUAUCCAUAUUUAAUCAUUGUACUUUUCUGCAUGUAUGAUAUAUGUCAAUAAAUGUCUUAAAUUAUAUACAGCAAAAAUAGAAAAAAACACAAGAAGACAUACACAAAUGUUAAACCUAGAGAGAAAUUUGAAUAUAAGUAAGUCUUUGAAUGACUGAUAGAACAAACCGAAAAAUAGGAUGGAGAGGUUUGGAACAGCAUGAUUAGCAAAAUUGACAUAUCUGUCUUUUAAUAUAGGUAGAAACAUAGUUAGAUAAAAAAAGGACUUGUCUCGGAGCAUGAUUUCUGAAAAUAGUGGAAUCGAGUUUGAAUCUAUAGAGCAACACUGAAGAAGAAUGAAAGCAAGAAAUAAUAUUAAAUAUGAACAUAUGGAGGACAGAAUAAUAUUUUUAAAAUUUUUAGUUUCUAAGCUUCUCUGAAAUUUUGAUUUUGUUUUCUUAUGUAAUACCAGAGUUAUUAGGAAGGUAUUAUCUAAUAACACUAUUUUCAGUGAGAUAUUUUAAGUAGUUGUCCUAGAAAAAUUUUAUUUUUUAAAAAUGUAUAUUUAAAAAUACAUUAAAUGUGUAUAUACCUCAUAUGUUUCGAUUUCUAUUUUUCUUGAAUUGCAAAUGAAAUUUGUAUUUUUGUGUUCCUGGAACAAAAUAAACUUGAAUGGAUUGUAAUAUGUUAUUCAUGCUGUAAUUCAAUGUAUUUGAAUACUUUAAAAAUGCUACAUUUAUAGUUAACAGAUACUGACCUAUAAAUUUUCUGUCUUAUAAUGAUGCUGUGAGACAAUCUAAGAAGAAUUAAAAUUUAAAUUCACGUAUUCCUACUUUUUUCUCUGUUCUCUAACUGUAAUGUAUUUUAAUUACAGAUGGAGGAACAGAUAGAUGUUAGAUAAAUAGAUAUAUAAUAGAUAGAUCAUCCAAAAUUCUUAUUCUUAUGGUUUUAUGUAGUCAGUAUUUACCUCUAUUUUUCUACAUGUUUAUCCUUCCAAUUUAGUUCAUUACUUCCUGCACCUUUGAUGUCAUAUAUAUAAACAGGAAACAACACAUGGUGGCCGGGAUGUAGAGAGGGCCACAGGAAUUGUGAAUAAAAUCCACAGGCAAGGAUGUGGCGAUUCAUUUUGCAAUAUUGGAGGGAAUGCCAAACCCUAUGUUUGCUGUGGAAAAGAGUAUGGUAGUUCCUCAAAACAUCAAAAUGGUAUUGCCUUAUGAUUCGGCAGCCCCACAUCUCAAGAUAGCAAAAGAAUUCAAAGCAGAGUAUUGAAAAAAUAUUUGCACAUCCAUGUUUGCAUGCACCAUUAUUGGCAAUAGCUAAAACGUAGAAGCAAUUGAAGUGUUCAACAACAGAUGAAUGGAUAAGCAAAACAUGAUACAUACAUACAAUGGAAAAUUAUUCAGCCUUAAUCAUGAGGGAAAUAUACUGACAUAUAUUGCAACUUGGAUGAAACUUGAGGAUAUUAUGCCAAGUGAAAUAAGUUAGUCAGUGAAGGACAAAUACAGUAUAAUUCCAUUUGUAUAAGAGACUUAAAAGGGACAGAAUCACAGAGAUACUAAAACGAUGAUUGCCAGAAGCUGGGGAGAGGAAGACAUGGGGAAAUACUGUUUAAUGGGUAUAGAGUUUCAGUUUCACAAGUUGAAACGAGUUAUGGAGAUGGGUGGUAGUGAUGGCUGCACAAUGUUAUGACUCUAGUACCACUGAACUGUACACUUAAAAUGGUUAACAGAGUACAUUUUAUGUUAUGUGUAUUUUACCACAAUAAAAAAAUAAACUACCUUAGGAACAUUUUCCUGAAAGAGUCCACAUAAAAUUCAUUUUAAUGCAUGUGUUUAUGCAUAGCUUUCUAUUUUUCUCUUUUCUAUUUAUAUUCCAAAUUAGAAUAUAAUGCUAAUCAAGCAUUGUGGCUGUGUUUCUUGCUUCCUCUAGUCUGCAGGUAGCGUACAAAUGUAAUAAACUACUCAUGAAUGUCACACCUAUUUAUUUUCUGCCUUAUACCAAGCUUGUGGGAUUCUCUUAAAUACAACAUUUUUAUACUUACACCUAUGCAAUACCCAUUAGCAUCGCCUUCCUAAAUCAGGGGGAAUUGAGUCUCUGUAAGGUGCAGUAACUUACUAAGAUACAAAACUUAGCAUUAAAGUCUGUAUACUUCAAUAUCCUGCCCUCUUCUCAUUUGUCUUUACUGCCUUUUAUGUAUGUGUUAGAUGUUCAAUAAAUUCUCUUUUUUAAACCGAA